CAGCAGCCGCGGUAAUACGUAGGGCGCAAGCGUUGUCCGGAAUUAUUGGGCGUAAAGAGCUCGUAGGCGGUUUGUCGCGUCUGGUGUGAAAACCUCAGGCUCAACCUGGGGCGUGCAUCGGGUACGGGCAGACUAGAGUGCGGUAGGGGAGACUGGAAUUCCUGGUGUAGCGGUGGAAUGCGCAGAUAUCAGGAGGAACACCGAUGGCGAAGGCAGGUCUCUGGGCCGCAACUGACGCUGAGGAGCGAAAGCAUGGGGAGCGAACAGGAUUAGAUACCCCAGUAGUCCCUGUCUCUUAUAC
rnacentral:rRNA from 1 species